GUCUACCUGCCGCUGCCGACUAGCCUGCACGUGCAGUGGGCGGUGGCCGCGGCGGAGAAAGGUAAACACGUGCUGCUGGAGAAGCCGACGGCGCUUUGCGCCGCCGAUCUGGAGGCGAUUCUUGCUGCUUGCGAGUCGAAGGGUGUGCAGUUCAUGGACUCGACUAUGUGGAUGCAUCACCCACGGACGGCCAAGAUGAAGGAGCUCAUCUCCGACCCCACGCUGUUUGGUCAGCUCAGCACGGUAAACAGCAUAUUUUCCUUUGGUGGAAACCCUGAUUUUCUUCAGAAUGACAUUCGUGUGAGGCCUGACCUUGAUGCCCUUGGAGCUCUGGGUGAUACCGGGUGGUACUGCAUUCGAGCGAUCCUGUGGGCAGCCAACUAUGAGUUGCCCAAAACUGCAAUUGCAC
rnacentral:misc_RNA from 1 species